UCGAACUCACAGAGAUCUGCCUGCCUCUGCCUCCCGAGUGCUGGGAUUAAAGGCGUGCGCCACCACUGCCCAGUUUGACUUGAGAAAGUUUUUAUCCCACCACUCCUAGCUUGUUUAGUGCCCUUUGCUUAAAAAAAUCACAGGGUGAGAAAAGAAUAAAUUUGAAGUUUAAUAUUAAAUUCCAUGUAUAUUUUCCCAGGCAAAAGUGGCAGAUUCCAGGGAAACCAUUAGAAACAUGUAGUGUCUAUUUUUCUUCAUAAUUUAUUUCUAGCAACUCAAAACUAGUUGUGUUUUUAUAUAAAUACAACACACUGAGUUUUAGGUUUUUGAUUUUUCCCCCCCUUCAAGACAGAGUUUCUCUGUGUAGCCUGUCUAUCCUGGAACUCACUAUAGACCAGGCUGGUCUUGAACUCAGAGAUCACCUGCUACUGCCUCCCGAGUGCUGGGACUAAUGGUGUGCACCACUGCACCUGGCUUAUAAUGUAGAUUUCUGAUCAAGGACUAAAUCAAAAUGUGACCAGUAGGUUUCACUAAGCCACACAAUCUUUUUUUCCUUCCUUAGAAGCAGACCUUGGCUGCCUUAGUCCUACAGGAAGCAAUUGGUCGUGUUUGAGGUUACUAUACAGGGACAAAGAAGAGAAGAGCCUGGCCUGUGGAGUGACAGCGUAGCACAGAAAGGACGGGAUGUGGUACAAAAGGAGGAGAAAGUUAAAACAGCAAAUGGGGAGCCUGCGCUCCCAAUGGAUGUCCCCCAUCAGGCUGCUCACCAAGGCUGGAUGUCAGUAGACACCGCUAACUCCGACCGACCGACCCGGGAAUUACCGAAGGAGGUCCUGCAGAAACUAUAAACCUGCAAGCUGUGGCUGCUGGGGCAGAGGGGACUGCUGUCUUACCUGGGAUUUGGGGAGUUGGAGGAUUAACAGAGUUAUCUGUCACUGUAGUUAGGAAGUGAUAGCUGAGUAGGAACCCCUAAGAGACACAAACAAGGGGUUUCUGUGCCCAGCUUUAAGGAGAUGGACACCAGGGCUGCUAUGUCAGCUUAGUGGUCAUGAUUACCAUCAAGAAACCAAGAUGUAGCCGGGCAGUGGUGGCGCACGCCUUUAAUCCCAGCACUAGGGAGGCAGAGCCAGGCGGAUCUCUGUGAGUUCAAGGCCAGCCUGGGCUACCAAGUGAGUCCCAGGAAAGGCGCAAAGCUACACAGAGAAACCCUGUCUCGAAAAACC